CCUACGGGUGGCAGCAGUGAGGAAUAUUGGUCAAUGGACGAGAGUCUGAACCAGCCAAGUAGCGUGAAGGAUGACUGCCCUAUGGGUUGUAAACUUCUUUUAUAUGGGAAUAAAAUGUUCCACGUGUGGGAUUUUGUAUGUACCAUAUGAAUAAGGAUCGGCUAACUCCGUGCCAGCAGCCGCGGUAAUACGGAGGAUCCGAGCGUUAUCCGGAUUUAUUGGGUUUAAAGGGAGCGUAGGUGGAUUGUUAAGUCAGUUGUGAAAGUUUGCGGCUCAACCGUAACAUUGCCGUUGAAACUGGCAGUCUUGAGUACAGUAGAGGUGUGCGGAAUGCGUGGUGUAGCGGUGAAAUGCUUAGAUAUCACGAAGAACUCCGAUUGCGAAGGCAGUUCACUGGACUGCAACUGACACUGAGGCUCGAAAGUGUGGGUAUCAAACAGGAUUAGAUACCCCAGUAGUC
rnacentral:rRNA from 1 species